rnacentral:rRNA from 1 species
UGAGUAAUGUCUGGGAAACUGCCUGAUGGAGGGGGGAUAACUACUGGAAACGGUAGCUAAUACCGCNUAACGUCGCAAGACCAAAGAGGGGGACCUUCGGGCCUCUUGCCAUCAGAUGUGCCCAGAUGGGAUUAGCUAGUAGGUGGGGUAACGGCUCACCUAGGCGACGAUCCCUAGCUGGUCUGAGAGGAUGACCAGCCACACUGGAACUGAGACACGGUCCAGACUCCUACGGGAGGGCAGCAUG